AAAACACUUCUUCCCAAAGAUAUAUGAACCCCUACGUUCAUUGUAGCAUUAUUCACAGUGGCCAAGACAUGGAAAGAGUGGAAGG